GUUGAAACACCGAUUCCCGUACGUUCAUCGAAGUUAAGCAGCAUCGAGAUUGGUCAAUACCUAGAUGGGUGAACGCUUGGGAAUACCAGGUGCUGUAAG